AAUAAAUGUAGUUUUACAUUUUUUAUAUUCAACGUUUGAUUAUUCGUCUUAUUUAAAAAAAAUUAUAAUUAAUAUUUUUAUUGUUGUUAGAUAAUAAAACAUGAAUAAUAUUUUAUUUGUGACUAAUUUUUUAAAUCUUUUCAUAAAUUUUUCAAAUAAGAUGGACGGUUAAAUGUUUGACAAAAAUACCACAACUGUAUUUAUU
rnacentral:pre_miRNA from 1 species